AUUGGGAGGCCCAAUUAUUAUUAGAAGGGUAGUGGGGCCCACCUCUGGGAUCAUCAAGAGAGAAAGCUCCUCAGUGGUCGGAGAAGGCGAUCAAUUAUUAUCACACGAUGGCUUCCUGUCCUGUCCUGUCUCUCACAAACAAAACAAUGGUCAGUGUUUUUUCUCUCCAUCUCUUUCUAAAAAUCAUUGUUUGUCCUUUUAUCUAAUUGAUUUCCAUGAGUAAUAAUCUCCAACAACCAGUAAUUCCUGAGUCUGAGUUUCUUUUUUAUUUGAAUUUCUGAGACUUGGAUGAUGACUUUAGGGGAUUAAAAAAAAAAACGGAAUCGUGGAUGUAUCUAGAAGAUACCUUUGCCUUUUAUGAAGACUACUUGGUGAUUAUUAUAUUUGUACAGAGUCUUUUGAUUGUGGAGCACUACUACUUCUGUGAAAACGGUUCUUUGUCUUAGGAUCCAUUCCAGAUAGAUUCCUUACGCUUUUUUGCUUGUUCCCCCUGUGGUAUGAACUUUCUUCUUCGGAAAGCACCUCAAAAAAGCUCACUCAACUUGAUUCGCCAUUAUAUAUAACAAAAUUCUGAUUCCUUCUCUUUUACUUAAUAAUGCCUGCUUAGUGGUCUGAAGAAUCUUAUUUUAUAAUCUCUCAAUUGAUAGCUUAGUGUGGUGUUUUCUUCAUACAUCAUGCUACUUUUCAUGUAUUCCAUAAUCCAGAAAAAUUGUGGAAACAGAGAGAGGUAAUUUUCUUUGUUUCGUAAUAUAUUCUUUUUAAAAAGACUGUCUAGUCUAGUGUUCAGGAUAAAAUCUAAGAGAGCAUCAGAUACUAGCUCUGGAUCAAGCAUAGUGUUUGGAAAUUUAAACAACUUGUACCACACUUAUGUUAAGUCUCAAUUCAAAGAUCUUUCCUUUUUAACUCUUCUUUGUUUGCCUUUCAGUUAUCCCACUUUAGUGAUCAGGCUUCAUAUUCUUCAUCCCCACAGGUUCCUUAUUCUGUUUUAAAUCUUUUGGAUUUCAGCACUGCGUUUAAUUACAGUGUUUUUCUACCUAUUAAUCAGAGACUCAAGUCUCCGUUUGUUCAUAUAUAUAGUCAGAACAUGAAUAUGAAACAAAAAAAAACCUUCUUCAUAGAUUAAACUUAGGAAAUUAUUACAAAAAAAACAUCAUCUUAACACACAAAAGCUUACUAUUAUUACUACUACAAUCUUAUUUUGCUCCAAUAAUAACUUCCAGUACUCUAGAAACUUUUACAGAAUCAAUCUUCUUCGGUUCACUUCUCUUUUAAUCUCCCAGAGCAUAAAGUGAAUUUCCCAGUCUAGUUCAGAAGCAUCUGGUCGAAGUGCCAAACUCCUGCAAAAGACACAUAAAAAUUUAGUAAGCUUUUCUAAAAAACUUACUACUGAAAUUCUAGUCCUAGUGAAAAUCAAACUGAAUAUAGGGGCUGUUUAGAUCAAACAGCGUACCGUGUCCUUUGCCAACCAUCCUUAGCUGGGUGAUGAAGUCUGAGAUCUUCUUGAUUGCUUCAAUCUAAGGGGGGGGGGGGAGAAAAAAAAGGGUUUUAAAAAGUGGGUACUAGUUUCAAGUCACUAGUUAAGAAAACAAACAAAAGAAAGCUCACCUGCUCUCCAAGAAACUCACUCUCAACAAAAUCAGCUAACUGUGGGUCAUUGUUCUCUGAUGCCACCUGUUUUUUUUAAAUUAUUUUAAGAUUAGUGACUGCCCUAUUUGAUUGACCUUAGAUGGAUAAGUUUUGGGAACAUACUCUGUGAAGGUUUAGAAGCUUCUCGUUGGUCAGUUUCUCCAGAGACAGGGCCAACUCCAUUGCUGAAAAUAAUAUAAGAUUAGUAUAAAGAUCAUUUCAAAAUCUGUGUAUACACUUAAUCAAGAAUGAUAUUUUUUUUCUUUUUUGUAUAAAUAUAGAAAAAUAUAUAUACCAUAUAAGGCAUCUCCUUUUUCAGCAUGUUCAAAAUCAGAGAUAGGGGAGACGAUAGGGUGGAGUGUCACUCUUCCUCCUCUUUUGUUCUAUACACAUAUACAUAAACCAUAUAUAUUAACAUCAAUCACUAUUCUUUCAACAUCUAGAAGAAGAAGAAGAAAAAAAGGGAGGGAAACCUGGUACUCCAUAAACUUCUCAGCGUGCUCUCUUUCUUCAUCACUUGAUUCCUUGAAAAAUCUGAAACCAAGUUUAUCAUAUUAUUAAAUUUUUGCUUUAGUUAGAUUAAGAUUGAAAGGCAGUAGUAGUAGUAGUAGUAAGAAAAAGUUACUUGGCAAGACCCUUGAGAGCAACGUUGUCUCUGUCGAAGUAGGCGUACAUUGAAUGGUAAACAUACGACACGUUGUAUUCCACACUGUCCAAAUAUCAACCUCUGUUAAUAUCUAAUCUUGUCGUAACAACAUUUAAACAGGAAAAGAAGAAAGGAUGCUUACUUGAUUUGCUCGUUAAUGGCAGCCUCGCAAGAGUCGGCAUACCUCUGGCGAGCGAGGGAGGCAUUAGAUGUGAUUGGAAUGGCCAGAUCGGCUUUCUUCACCUCCUCGAACGGCUGGAACACCACUCCUGUCAUCGGCAUAUUGUUUGUGUCUACCGUUGAGGACGCAAC
rnacentral:lncRNA from 1 species